CGGGAUCUUCGGAUCUAGUGGCAGACGGGUGAGUAACGCGUGGGAACCUGCCCAGUAGUAGAGAAUAACUUGAGGAAACUUAAGCUAAUACUUUAUACACCCUUUGGGGAAAAGCUUUAUGCGCUAUUGGAUGGGCCCGCGUUAGAUUAGUUUGUUGGUGAGGUAAUGGCUCACCAAGACUACGAUCUAUAGCUGGUCUGAGAGGAUGAUCAGCCACACUGGGACUGAGACACGGCCCAGACUCCUACGGGAGGCAGCAGUGGGGAAUAUUGGACAAUGGGGGCAACCCUGAUCCAGCGAUGCCGCGUGAGUGAUGAAGGCCUUCGGGUUGUAAAACUCUUUCGUCAGGGAAGAUAAUGACGGUACCUGAAGAAGAAGAUCCGGCUAACUCCGUGCCAGCAGCCGCGGUAAUACGGAGGGAUCUAGCGUUAUUCGGAAUUACUGGGCGUAAAGCGAGCGUAGGCGGAUUUGUAAGUUGGAGGUGAAAUCCCAGAGCUUAACUCUGGAACUGCCUUCAAAACUACAUUUCUUGAGUUUGGUAGAGGAGAGUGGAAUUCCUAGUGUAGAGGUGAAAUUCGUAGAUAUUAGGAGGAACACCAGUGGCGAAGGCGACUCUCUGGGCCAAUACUGACGCUGAGGUUCGAAAGCAUGGGUAGCGAACAGGAUUAGAUACCCUGGUAGUCCAUGCAGUAAACGAUGAGUGCUAGAUGUUGGGAAUUUAAAUUUCCAGUAUCGCAGUUAACGCGUUAAGCACUCCGCCUGGGAAGUACGGCCGCAAGGCUAAAACUCAAAUGAAUUGACGGGGACCCGCACAAGCGGUGGAUCAUGUGGUUUAAUUCGAAGAUACGCGAAGAACCUUACCGGCCCUUGACAUACCAAUCGCGGACUUAAGAGAUUAAGUCUUUCACUUCGGGUGGAUUGG
rnacentral:rRNA from 1 species